rnacentral:rRNA from 1 species
AUUGAACGCUGGCGGCAGGCCUAACACAUGCAAGUCGAGCGGAUGAAGGGAGCUUGCUCCUGGAUUCAGCGGCGGACGGGUGAGUAAUGCCUAGGAAUCUGCCUGGUAGUGGGGGAUAACGUCCGGAAACGGGCGCUAAUACCGCAUACGUCCUGAGGGAGAAAGUGGGGGAUCCUCGGACCUCACGCUAUCAGAUGAGCCUAGGUCGGAUUAGCUAGUUGGUGGGGUAAAGGCCUACCAAGGCGACGAUCCGUAACUGGUCUGAGAGGAUGAUCAGUCACACUGGAACUGAGACACGGUCCAGACUCCGACGGGAGGCAGCAGUGGGGAAUAUUGGACAAUGGGCGAAAGCCUGAUCCAGCCAUGCCGCGUGUGUGAAGAAGGUCUUCGGAUUGUAAAGCACUUUAAGUUGGGAGGAAGGGCAGUAAGUUAAUACCUUGCUGUUUUGACGUUACCAACAGAAUAAGCACCGGCUAACUUCGU